GAGGCUUGGAGACCGGCGACAAGGGUGUGUCCAAGCUCAGCUGGGAAUGGAAGUUGCUUUGCGAUUCUUUAAAAUCUUGAGGCCAUGGCAUUGGGGAUAGUGCAGGAAGAAUAUCACAAAACUUUGAUGUAAGAAAUGGAAAGUGUGCUUUGAGAAGACUGUGUUGGAAUGCUUGACUGCAUGAAAAUAUCAAGGGGCUCUUCCAUAAAGGGUAGCAGAGAAUUCACUUU